rfam:Triticum aestivum genome assembly, contig: Triticum_aestivum_CS42_TGACv1_scaffold_081694_1DS
CUAUUGGCCUUAUUCAAGGCCAUUUAAUGACUAUUACCAGCUAUG